rnacentral:rRNA from 1 species
UACGGGGGGGGUAAGCGUUGUUCGGAAUUACUGGGCGUAAAGGGCUUGUAGGCGGCCAACUAAGUCAGACGUGAAAUCCCUCAGCUUAACUGGGGAACUGCGUCUGAUACUGGAUGGCUUGGAUUUGGGAGAGGGAUGCGGAAUUCCAGGUGUAGCGGUGAAAUGCGUAGAUAUCUGGAGGAACACCGGUGGCGAAGGCGGCAUCCUGGACCGGUAUUGACGCUGAGGCGCGAAAGCUAGGGGAGCAAACGGG